UGAGAAGACUUAGAAAGUGCAUUUGAGAGCGGAUGAUUUUAUUUUUUUUUUUUUACUUCCUGAAUCCAUUUAUAUGGAUAUUCAUUUAAUUUAUAUAUACUGUAGAAGUGAUUAGGUCGGACGCAAAGUUCUGAGUUUAUUUUUUUGAAUAUCGAGCUUUCCAGCGAGUUUGCGCAUUCUUUCUCUCAGCUUUCUUUCACAUUCCAAAAACAUCCGUAUGAAGGCUUUUUUGUUUUCCAUAGCUGUGAAUUUGAAUGGGUGUGUGUCUAUAUGUGCCAUGCAGUUGGCUGACGAUCUUUCACAGGGGAAAUGGGAAGUGGUACGCUUCCAAGAACCAGACAGCAGUGGAUCGUCAAAUAAACAACCAUUUUUUUCUCAUUUUGCCGUUUUGAUGGACACAUUCCUCUCACCCCUGACAGAUAAAUGGUGGAUGAUGUGGGUGGCGGGCCAGCGGCACUGGGAGAACCAAUCCAAUCAGCUGUAAUGGAGCCAAAGGUCACUGUUCACUCCUCCUACACUGAUAUGGCCGACGGCCCGAGGAUGACACAUCUAGUAGCCAUGAAACGUUCGAGCCAGCAAACACCAGCAUUCAAAUAUAAAGAAUUUGGCUGGUGUUUGACCAAUUUGAGAAAGCGAGACAGAAGGGAAAGACGACAAUGGAUCCCUGCAGCAAACUGGAGAUUUCGGAUCAUCAUACAGCGGUAUCCUGUCAGCUGGCGUUAUUGUGUGUUUAUUGUCCAUCAUCAACGGUCCAAUGACAAUGAAUAUGAAUGGAAGGAUUGAAAUUAUGACUGAAGCGCUCACACGGGUUAUUCACCAAAUGGAGUCAAGGGUUUGAUCUGCAAUGACGCCGCAUCAGAGUUCCGAGCUGUUCAAUUUCAACAGGUCGCCCUUGGAAAUAAAAAGAGGGCUCGCUAUUAAUGAAUCCAAAAUGAUGGGCCAGCAAUUGGUUUAAUCAGUCUAAGUAUGCCCAAAGCACAUCUCGCUAUUAACCCUCAUGCCUGAGGAACCCGAGACAAUUUAUUAAUGCUGAUUCCUGGCAAA